CUGAUUACCUUGAGGUGGUCAUGGGGUCAGGCCUGCAGCUCCAGCCUUGGAGGUGUUCUGUUUGGGCAGCCGUCAGGGGAAACUACUUGAGGAGGAGCCAGUGCCUUGGGAUUAAGAAGAUGGUGCUCCUCCCUCAGGGUAAUAGGAGGGGGAGUUCUUAAAUGUCCUGGAGUAUCCAGGUCUGGAGAGAAGACGACAUGACCUGAAACUCAGCAGGUGGUGGUGAGCUUCAGACUGCUGAGGCUGUGGCAGAGGCAGUGUGCAGUUCUCUGCCCCAUCCUUUGAAAUACCAGGAGCGCAGCUGACACAGGCUGAAAGGGAAACUUAGUUGUGAUACAGCCAAGAGCCUGUCAGCUUCUGUAGGGGGUUCUCCUUACCCUGAGUGUAUAGAGAGGUGAUGACCACUGGUGGGAGCUGAGAAACCAUGUAGCCGCCUGCAACAAGUAAAUGUUGAUAUUUGCAUUGGAGAUAUGGGGAGUUAACACUCUCCACGGGAGAUUUGUUCUUUUGCUUACAGUUUCUUACUUAGGUAACUGAGAAGUGAAGCUUUUGAAAAAUCAAAAAAGAAAUUUAACUUAUUAUGUGGGGUAGGGACAAAGGAAAGUCACCAAGUUCAGGAAUGGCAUAACCCAGCCUUGCUGUAAGAGGGUGACUUCUGUGCCUGACCAUAGGCUGACACUGGUGACCAGGGCCAUCUGGGGCAGAGCUGUGAACCCAAGGAAGCAGCUGAAUAAGCAAGCAGGCAGCCUGCCAUGGGGCCCUGCUCCAAGAACCGGUCCUUCUGCUGGAUGAUUGGGCUCCUGGUAUUCAUUAACCUCCUCCUUAGUGUCUGCAGCACAGCAGCCAGCACUUCUGGAGCACAUGGCUCUGCAGUGAAGGAUUCUGGAGCCCCCAUUCAUCUGAAGGGGAUCCGAGGAGGUUCUGUCUUGUUGCAUGUGAUCGAGAAGCUCAGAGUAGAUGUAGGUGCUGAGCUGGAGGAGGUUCUGUGGGCUUUGGGCACUCUGUCAAAUCAUACACAGCUUCUGCAAGUCCACAGCGGGGCCGAUUCUCCAACCUGGUUGAAACUCCAGGACAAGUUCAAGCAGAGCAUCCAUGUACCCAGCAUGUCAUCCCUGAGGAUUGAGAACCUGGCCCUUGAGGACAGUGGGCAGUACUUUGCCCUCAUCUCUAGUGGGGGAGAUGGGAUUGUGUAGAUUUUCUACCUCACUGUCUAUGAGCCUGUGCCUCACCCUGAGAUCCUGGCAAAGUCACAGUCUAUCACACCAGACCUGUGUAACAUCACCCUGGAGUGUAGGGCUCCAGGGACCACAGAGUACCUGAAUGUGACUUGGGAGAGCAAGGGCCUCCUCAGAGAGCUGCAGAGAGAAACACCAGGACCAGCCUCCAACCCCUGGACACUGGCUGUGAACCUGCCCCUGUGCCAGUGCAACACCCACCUCACCUGUGUGGUCAGCAACCAGGCAGAUCAGAAAGCUGCAAUCUUAGACUUUAGAAAAGUCUGUGUCCAAGGUGAGUGGUGAGUGUAGCCUGCAGGAUAGGAGGGGCUGCCCAAUCUCAGGUAGCACUGGGGUCUGAGGGUUCUGGGCUCUCUUCUCUGCCAUGUGCAUUACCACCACCUUCCAUGUGCUCACCACACACAGCAGUGUGGGAGUCACAUCCACCUCCGUUCUGCCUUUAAUCAUCUCUCCCAUCCGUACCCUCCUCGCCGCAUCCCUACCAUGUCCCUGCCGAUUCGGACAGCUCUCCCACCCCAUCCAUCCUCCACUGAACAUCCAGAGUGGGCUUUGGGAAAAGUGGGUCAAAUUGGGUUGUUGUCUGUGUCUUCUGUGUGAUCUGGCCUGCAGUUACUCCCCCAUGGAAUUCGGGACUCAGAUGCUCCUUUGCCCAUGUUUCUGGCUUCACCUGUGCACUUCACACCAAACUCCUUUCUUUUAUUUCCCAAAAUAUGUCUUGUUUUCCGUAAGCUUCUGAGCUUCAGAACAUGCUGUUUCUUACCCCCAUCAGCCCUCCCACACCCAGUGGCCGACACUUCCUCUUUUAUUCCUUUCCAAGCAUUUCCCUAAGCUAUGACAGGCUUUAUGGGCACAAGACAGAUGCAGUCACACAGGGUCCCACACUUCACAGGAUUCCACAAUGGGUUAAAACUCUGCUAUUCCUUCCUUGAAGUUUUAAUCCUUUUUAAUCAAGGGAAUUUAAAUUUGCAUUGCACAGGGCCCUGAAAAUGAAAAUGAUGUAUCGAGUUCUGCCCUCAGGCCCCACCUCCUUAGGGAGCCACCCACGGCACCUCACACUGAGUAGUAAUGACGUGUUUAUGUCACUGUCUGCCCUGUGGACUGCAAUGUCUUGAUGUUUUCCUUUGGAUCCCUGUGCCAAGCACAGCUCCUGGCAACAUCUGCUCACAAUCAGUGUUCACUGAAUGAAUGAUACCCUGUGUGCAGCCUCAUCCUCUCCAACCCUCCCUCCAGGAGCUGCUGGGGGAUCUGAUGUGUCAGCAUCACUUUAAACUGCCUGUCACCUCCUCUCUCACCCCCAUCCUGGAGUGUUCAGCAUUUAGCAUGACCACAAGGCCCUCUGGGCACAGACUCCUGCCUCCAUCUGACUCCCCUUGCCACAGCUCCUCCCUCCUCUGUCUCUCUCCUGCUACAGCGGGGUGCCGGCAACUCCCAGGGCUCGUGUUUUGACACAAACAUUUCCUGAACUUGGUGCUCCUGUUUCCUUGAAUCCCUACCCUGAAUAUCUGAGAAUCUCACACUCAGUUUAGCCAGCACCUCCUCUGGGAGGCCCUCCCUGAAGACCUUAUAUAAGGUGGAAACCACUAUUGCAGCUGUGAUCCUUCUGUCUGUAAGUUGGUAUUUUCUGUCUUCCUUCCUGUGUGCUGGGCUGCUGUGGACAUUGUCUUGUGCUUCUCAGCAUCCCUGGUACCAAGCAGCAGCUCCUAACCAGUUGAAUGAAUGGAUCUGCCAUGCUCCUCCCUCUUCAGCUUUGGCACCGGGCUCCUUCCCACUGCUCUACCUGCUUUCUCCCUCUGUCUCCUCUUGGUAAUGAGCAUCUCAAGUUAUCUCCUGCCUUAACAUUUUCCACUCUCCCCAUGUGACAGAAACAGGUUCAUACAAACAGGAUAUGGUUAGACUGCUCCCAGCCAUCCUAGGGGCUGUUGUGAGUGUGCUCUUGGUCCUGGGAACUGGGCUGUGUCUUUUGAAGACAUGUGGGAAGAAGAAGAAGAAGAUGAUGAAUAUAGGAAGAGGCAAGUUGCAUUUCUCCUUCCAUACCCAGACACCUCCCCUGCCUCACUAGAACCUCACCUUCCUUUCUCCUGAAUUUUUCUUCCAGGGAGUGGACUCUGCAGAGGGAUGGUAGGUGUGGCCUUGGCCUUGGGGUUCAUGGCAGUGGGGAGGGAUACAGUUUUCUACGGCACAGAUUCAAGCUUUGAUUUUCUCAGGUAGAGAAUUGUAGGAGAACCAUGGGGUCGAUGAUGAUGUCAAUCAAUAUGAAGAUCUCAGGCAGCAAGUGUCUCUGAAGGGUGAGAACAAAGUAAGGGCUGGGGCACUGGCCACCCUGGCAACUCCCAGGUCUCUCUGCCCAGUCUUGGGUUUCUAAUUCCAGGACCUGCCAUUUCUGACCAUACCGUCUGUUUAUCUAUAUGUGGACAAUCAACAGCAUUUACCAAGAAAAUUUACAUCUGGGUGUGGUGUAGUGCUGGGCACUUUGGAGGAAGUCAUGAGCAGUGCAUGUCAGUGGGUAUUGGCUCUGUGGGUCCCUCCACAUCCUUUCUAUCCCUUAGCAGAUCCAACAACCCUCUGUCUUGUAAUCCAGGGCAUCAGUGAACAACAUCUGGAAAAAAGCGUCUCUCACUCCUAUCUGCAGUGAGGUUCAUUAUCAUUGACCAGGCCAGGCGAUUAAGAUCAUUCGAUUGGAGGAAGCAAGAGGAUCUGACACUCCCAGGACACCUGUACUCUGAGCCUGAAGCCUGCAGCCCCCGCGUUUCCCAGUGCUGGUUCAGUUCCCGAUGCCCCAUCUGUGUUACUCUGAUCUCAUAGCCACAGUUCUAUGUACCCAUGGCCUGUUUGCAUUCUGUGACACCUCCCAAAGAUGCACUUACACUUGAGCAAAGAUUCUUCCCCUUGUCAUUGACAUUGCUCCUGACCGCUCUCUUUCAGAAGCCUCCCCAAGGGGACCCUGUCUGAUUGCAAAGGUGGCAAAUCCCCACCACCUCUGCCAUGUCACUGGUGUGUGUAAUUCUGAGGACACAAGCCCAGACAUGGGAACUGUGCAGAGGUGUUGACUGUGCUGCAGAG
rnacentral:lncRNA from 10 species